rnacentral:miRNA from 1 species
UCAGCAGUUGUACCACUGAUGUU